rnacentral:ribozyme from 1 species
AAUAUGCCGACGGCAGUGAGGCAUCAAGUUUCCCAGAACCCGUUAAAUGUCCAGAUCCCCAGCAGCAUAUCUCUCCCAUAUUGGUAUGUUCCGAUGAAAUAGAUGAUACGCCAUCCCUUUC